rnacentral:rRNA from 1 species
CAUUACUGAGUUUACGCUCUAUAACCCUUUGUGAACAUACCUAUAACUGUUGCUUCGGCGGGUAGGGUCUCCGCGACCCUCCCGGCCCCCCGCCUCCGGGCGGGUCGGCGCCCGCCGGAGGAUAACCAAACUCUGAUUUAACGACGUUUCUUCUGAGUGGUACAAGCAAAUAAUCAAAACUUUAACAACGGAUCUCUUGGUUCUGGCAUCGAUGAAGAACGCAGCGAAAUGCGAUAAGUAAUGUGAAUUGCAGAAUUCAGUGAAUCAUCGAAUCUUUGAACGCACAUUGCGCCCGCCAGCAUUCUGGCGGGCAUGCCUGUUCGAGCGUCAUUUCAACCCUCAAGCUCUGCUUGGUGUUGGGGCCCUACAGCUGAUGUAGGCCCUCAAAGGUAGUGGCGGACCCUCCCGGAGCCUCCUUUGCGUAGUAACUUUACGUCUCGCACUGGGAUCCGGAGGGACUCUUGCCGUAAAACCCCCCAAUUUUCCAAAGGUUGACC